rnacentral:rRNA from 1 species
GAUGAACGCUGGCGGCGUGCCUAAUACAUGCAAGUCGAGCGAACAGAUGAGGAGCUUGCUCCUCUGACGUUAGCGGCGGACGGGUGAGUAACACGUGGAUAACCUACCUAUAAGACUGGGAUAACUUCGGGAAACCGGAGCUAAUACCGGAUAAUAUAUUGAACCGCAUGGUUCAAUAGUGAAAGACGGUUUUGCUGUCACUUAUAGAUGGAUCCGCGCCGCAUUAGCUAGUUGGUAAGGUAACGGCUUACCAAGGCAACGAUGCGUAGCCGACCUGAGAGGGUGAUCGGCCACACUGGAACUGAGACACGGUCCAGACUCCUACGGGAGGCAGAGUAGGGAAUCUUCCGCAAUGGGCGAAAGCCUGACGGAGCAACGCCGCGUGAGUGAUGAAGGUCUUCGGAUCGUAAAACUCUGUUAUUAGGGAAGAACAAAUGUGUAAGUAACUAUGCACGUCUUGACGGUACCUAAUCAGAAAGCCACGGCUAACUACGUG